CCCGCACAAGCGGAGGAACAUGUGGUUUAAUCGAUGAUACGCGAGGAACCUUACCCGGGCUUGAAAUGCAUCUGACCGGCCUUGAAAGAGGUUUUUCCCCUUCGGGGCAGAUGUGUAGGUGCUGCAUGGUUGUCGUCAGCUCGUGCCGUGAGGUGUCGGCUUAAGUGCCAUAACGAGCGCAACCCUCAUCAUUAGUUACCAUCAGGUAAGGCUGGGGACUCUAAUGAGACUGCCAUCGUAAGAUGUGAGGAAGGUGGGGAUGACGUCAAAUCAGCACGGCCCUUACGUCCGGGGCGACACACGUGUUACAAUGGGUGGUACAAAGGGCAGCUACCUGGCGACAGGAUGCUAAUCUCCAAAACCACUCUCAGUUCGGAUCGGAGUCUGCAACUCGACUCCGUGAAGCUGGAUUCGCUAGUAAUCGCGCAUCAGCCACGGCGCGGUGAAUACGUUCCCGGGCCUU
rnacentral:rRNA from 1 species